UACGUAGGGGGCAAGCGUUGUCCGGAUUUAUUGGGCGUAAAGAGCGUGUAGGCGGCUAGGUAGGUCCGUUGUGAAAACUCGAGGCUCAACCUCGAGCUGUCGAUGGAAACCAUCUGGCUAGAGUCCGGAAGAGGAGAGUGGAAUUCCUGGUGUAGCGGUGAAAUGCGCAGAUAUCAGGAAGAACACCCGUGGCGAAGGCGGCUCUCUGGGACGGUACUGACGCUGAGGCGCGAAAGCGUGGGGAGCGAACAGG
rnacentral:rRNA from 1 species